rnacentral:lncRNA from 1 species
AUGAGGGGUCAGCUUACUACCCUUGAUUUCCUGUGUCAAAACAUAGAAAAGCGUGCUCUGCUAUCCAGACAGGAGAACUGUAUUACUUUAAUCGGGAAGGACCUUUCCCGGUUGCUGUCCCUGGCGGUGUACAAAUGCUUUCUUUUUCAGGGUGAUGUUCUCCACCUAAACAAGCUGAAGACAAGACAGCAAAGGUGCAAAGUCACAGGUAGGGCGAGGAAUCUACUUUUGGACACCUGGCAUCCUUGUCGGCCGGGCCCAGAAAACUCAACCAGUGUGAUUCUGUAUGGGCGGCCCAGAUGCUGAUCCGAAGCCUAUCCAGAAACUGGGAAUCCUUCGCAAUGGUACAAGGCUGAAAAAGCCCUGUGGCAAAGGAACCUGUUUAGUGAGCAAACCUCGAGGUGACUCGGCCGGAGAACACCGGGUGUCCUAAUCCUCAUCCGAGCUGGCUGUAAGCCGUCACUGAGAGCUGAAGUGUCCUCCCUGUAGGCAGAUGAGUUCCUGCUCUGGUGUCAGUGACCCCGCAUCUCAGAGGAGGAGGGCGACAAGGAGAACUUUGCGGAAGGCUUGUGAUCUGUGUUUCCCUCCUUAGGCUCUGCUCCAAAUAGGCUGCAACCACUAGAGACCAAAUGUAAGUCUGGGGAAAGUAGGUUAUCAGGCACAGGACGGAGAUAAUUAGUCUAUUGUGUUCUGCUUACAGCACGAUUCUUUUACCAUGUCGUCCUCCCCAAAUGCUCCGUUUCGUGGAAAUUAGUGUAGUAUUGGCAUAGCAUCUAAUAAUGAAGCCAGGAGAUGGGGAGAAUUCCAGCAAGCGCCUGACCUAAGCAGGUGGACAGAGUCACGCUCCCAAUUCCUUUGUACCCACCACUUGCUUUGCUCAUAUCCCAUUUCUCAUGCUGCUGCUGGUAGUUUAGCUGUCUCAGCCCAAUUUGAGUUAAAAAAAAAAAAAUGUUGGCUAUUCUAAGUGCAGCUCCAGGCAAGUGACAUUUACAACUCGUAGUUUCUUCCCUCCACCCUGUUUUUUUCCAGGGUUUUUUUGGUGUGUGAAACUGUACUUGUUUCCGGAUAGGGCCACGACGUGGCACAUUGCUAGAAGAAAGUAGUGCAGGGAGGAGACCAAACUUUGUGUCUACUCUCUUAGGGUAUCCAGAUGGGCCUGACAAUGAAGUCAAUGGAAGACAGAUUGACAAGAGAAAAAACACAGAUUUCACAUGUGCGCGAGGACCCCCGGAGGAAAGCGCAGACCCGAAGAAGUAGUUGGAACGGAAUGUUCAUAUACUGAGUUGGACAAAGAGUAGUGAGUGGU